rnacentral:lncRNA from 1 species
GCACAAGAACCCGAAAAGCACCCAAUGCAAAUUCAUCGUGUGUUCUCCUGCAGAGACGCACUCUCUCCACCCUGGGCGGUAGGGACGGCGGGCAUUCGGUACUUCAGGCCCCUGCCACGGCUCUCAAACGGUGUUCCAGCACCUCACAGGCAGAUGCAGCAGGAAGGAGACAGGAAGGAGACAGCAGCAAGGGACCCACAGCCAGCAGACAGAAGAGAUGGAGCCCAGGCAGCCAGACCUGCUGGUGCACCUGGUCCAGAAACUAAGCUCACUGGGAAAAGCCUCCUGCGUCCCAAUCUCAGUAAAAACCAGACGCGUGGAUUCUAUCUCCUUUGCCUUGGAAAACACUGCUCUCCUUAAAUGGAACCAUGUCCCCCAAAGAUAAAAUUCUCUUUUCUCCCAAGAGAAACAAAGAAUGUUCAAGAAAUUUCAGUGCCUUUAUAGCAGCUCACUGCCUAUUCGCGGCACAUGCUGAGUUCUGAGGUAGACUGUCAUCAGCUAGGUGACUGAUUAGCCUUGUCACUUCUGCCUCUCAGUCCUCCAAAUAGCUUAGCCUGACCCCAACCUCCAAGUGGCAACAAAUUUCCCCUUCAGGAAUGCCAAAGACCUGGUAAAUGAGAGGUUACUUUUUCUGUUCAUUAAUAGAAGAGGGAAAUCCUGUCUUUAGCUGGAGCCACAGAAAAAUAUUUGGUGGGUCACCAGAAAACACAGAGAGGACAGUCGACGCCCUCAGAAGUCGUCCGACACACUGCGAGCAGCUGGCUCACAGGGAGCCGUGGGCAGAGCAGGGAGAGGACAAAGGUGCUCUUUCUCCAGCUCACUACAGAGAGGGGACGCGGGGAGGCCCCUGACCGUGUGACCGGGAGUCGGCACUCACUGGGAGGAAGUCUGGCUCUCACAGGAAGCUCCUGUGGUGACGAUGACAGAGGAUGGCUGCGACCCACCAGGUUGGCAGCUGGCGCCCUCGGGAACCAUCCGUGGUUCACCUCACUCUGACGGCAGGCCGCGGCCUCAGCCUCCACUCUGAGGAGGAGCAGGUAAGCUGAGAGGGGAGGCUGGGAGGGCGCUCUGGCUGCCAGGGCUGGGAACAGGCAGCCUGGGGGGACGGCCACCCCCAGCUGGUCCCUGCCCAGUCCUCCCCAGGAGCGGGCCAAGGGGCGGAGAGGGGUGAGCUGGGCCUCCCAUCCCAUACUGCCCCCUUCCUGGGCAGAGCAGCUUCUUCAGGUCCAAGGUUUUAAGAAAGAACUUUUUAUCAUGCCCCCCACCCCGGCCAAGCUUCUGCUCCUUCUGUCUGACCACCCUGCCCUCUUUGCUGCUCCAGCUGGGUCUCACUCUUCAGGCUUUGGCAUGUCACUUGCUGGGGGCAUCUUCCCUGAGGUCCCAGCUAUCCCACCCCACCCAUUUGCUCUCAGGAACCCUAACUCGCGGAUCCUUGUAGCCCUAAAACCCCAGUGGCCCGUGGGUUCUGGGUGUGAUCGCGUCUUAGGAGCUAUAUAUUUUCAUGUAAUGUCUCCCUCUGCUCUUCACAAACUUCAAGGCACCAAGAGCCAUGUCCUUUUGGUCACCCCUUGAGCACAAGGGAAGUGUUUCACCUGUUUAAUCACUAGACAGACACCCUCUCGAAAAAUAAUUCUUUUCGCUAGCCAGCACUCUGUUUCUGCCAAAAUACUGAGACCUAACUGGCCACAUAGGUCUCUGAAGACCCCAGCUGCUGCUGCAAAACAGGACACAGAAUGGAACAGGCAAAACUAGUUUCAGUCACAAAGGACAGCAUGUAGACCUACUGUUCACACCAGAUUCAUUACCAUCCACCCUAACACAGUGCCCCAGUAGAAUUCCCACCCAGCAGCGCCAUCUUGGUUGGGUUGCUUCCCACCCAGACUAGAACUGGCCUACAUAAAGGAUCAGAGGAAGGCAGUUCCGUGUCCCCAAGGUAGACCCAACCCCCUUUCUGGAAAAGUCAUGAAUAAUCCUCCUACUGGUUAUCUAAAAUUCUGCCCUCACCCUCAUGAGGACCCACCCUUUGUUUAGGUUGAAAAGCUGAUCUAUGAGUUUGUCUCCCUGCUUCUGUUCUCCAGCCAAAAAGACACAUUUCUUGUCUGCUCAAACAGCACUGGAUCUUGUCAUUGGUUCCAAAUUCCAAGAGGGAAAAUGGAUCCAGUUUGGUGUAAGAAAUUGGUAACAUGAGCAAAUGAAGAUUUGCACCAAAUGUUUAUUACUAUUCCAUCAGCUGCCUGUCAUGUUGGAUUUUCUGGAAAUGCUACAGAAUAAGAAUUGGGACUCUUUCCUCUUUGAGGCAAUAGAAAGGAAGCAAUCAAUGUAUCUCUGACCUGUAAAAAGAGAAUGGUGAAUAAAACCAACCUUUCCCAACAGAAAGCCACAGGUAGGGAGGGGCCAUAAACCUGGACAGGCAAAUUGGAAGGGUGAGGAGGAAGUCAGGUUAUGGAGCCUUAAAUUCAGGCUUCAAUAUAAGUUAUCAAAACUGUUGCAUAAUAAAGUGACACAAUAAAGUUGUGAGAUGAUUUCAGAAGUAAAAUUGAUUCAAGCAGCAGAAGUGAAGACCACAAUCAAUUAGGAAACUAAAUAGUCCUGGCUUGAUUAAAUGAGGGCCUCAGUUAUCCUGAUCAGAGUGGACAUGGGAAAGCAGGAAUGAUUUCUAAGAGACCAGGGAAGAAGGAUCGGCCACCCUGGCUGUGGGAGCACAGUCCAUUGAGCCCUGGAGGAAUGCAGGGCCUGGUAAGAGGUGCCCCUCUCUUCUGCCCCAGCUCUCUGGGUGACCUUGAACAAACCACCUCCCCUCCUUGGGCGCUCUCUCCAGGUGUACAAUGACAGCACUAGACCAGCCCAACGUCAAGAGUUAGCGUUGAGUUCAGUUACCAGGGAGUUAGUAAAAGUCAUUGACUGGGGGAGCUGAAGACCCGUGUUCGUGUUGGAUAUUGUGACAGAAUGAGGUACGCCUCUUGGUCUUUGUCCUGGCUUCUGAAACAACGUCAGGCCCACCAAGGCCAAAAGGAGCAUCUUUUCUCCUUCAUGAGCCCUUUAACCACACCUGAGUUUGUUAAGGAGGUGACAUUGGGACAGCUUAUCAGCAAGGACUGGGGGCUGGUGGCCAGGGAGCCAACCAUGAUCAGAGGGUUUGGACUUUUAGCCCCACCCCAGAUCUCCUAGGAGGGAAGAGGAGCUGAAGGUAGAAGCCAUCCACACCCAACAUGAAGCCGGCCAUGCUGCAUGAUCAAGUUCCUAAGGGAAGGGAUUCGGGAUUCAAAGAGUUUUCAUGUUGGUAAGCAUCUUCACCCCCAAACCCCAUGGGGACAGAAGCUCCUGUGCUUGGGACUGUCCUGAACCCUUCCUAUGUGUCUCUCCAUCUGCUGUUCAUCUGCAUCCUAACAGAUCUAGGAUAACCACAUUCCCUGGGUUCUGGGGCCAUUCUGGAAAACUCUCAACUCUGGGGAGGGAUCCUAGAACCUCUAAUUUGUAGCCAAAUUGGACAGAAGUCAUGGUAAGCUGGGGACCCGCCACUUGGUCCUGGUGUCUAAAGAUGGGGAGUAGGUGGAUAGACAUGAGCAAGGAGGUGGGGAAGAACCCAAGCUCCUCCCUGGGUUGUGUGCCCUGCUGCCAUCAUGCUGCGUAGGGACGGCGACCUUGUGGUCAGGCAGCCCUGUCAAUCUGGAGAAAACAGAUGUGAUCUCUCUGGAAAAUUUCCAACAUGGCGAAAUUGGUGUGGGUUCCCUAAGCCAUGGCAGGAACCAUGGUAACCCCAGAGGGAGGUCACUGUGCAGAGGGAGGGUCGCAGACCAGGUAUGAAAACUCAUUUCCUCUCUUGGAGGCGGCCUGCUCCACAUGUAGGGUACUUCUAUCCCGCUAAAUCAUCCCUUCAUGCUUGUUCUAACUGGGUCUCUGGAUGGCAUCUUUCUUACCCUCUACCCCUAGGGAGGGGCUGAGCCCGGACAGGGGUCUCUGCCUGACUCCAGGCUAUUAGAGCAGAAGGGAUUAAAGUGUGGGGUGCCUGUCAGUGUCCACAAGAACUGAAGACCAGGUUGACAUGGGGGAGAAAACCCCCACGUGGUGUGAGGAAUGUUAGAGUGUAAAGGAAGAAGCAGGAGGUUUCCACUUAAACUUCUUGGGUUCAAGGUAAAGUGAGACCCUGAGAAGAGCUCUCCAGCAGGCAGCUGGGAAUCCUGGGAGUUGUGCCUGGGAGAAGAGCAGGCGGGGACGAGGUGGAAGAGGCAGGGCCUGGUGGUUCCGCCACAGCGAUGGACGGUGGAGAAGAGGAGAUGGUGGUGUAGACUGUGUCCAUCCACGGAACCCCGGGCACUGGGGCCUUAAGCCUCCCUGGACACAAGGGUUCCUUUUUGCUCCGGGACAGAACUUCUGACAUGACACACUCUGUACCUUCCUUAUUCCAGGCUGGUAGAGAACCGAAGCCAGUAAGACGGGUCAAGGAGCAAAGCGUUUUUGUCCUCUCUCGGUCCUCCAGAAAGUCGCAAAGGCUCUGAGUCACCACGGGACACCAUGCCCACUGCACCCCAGCCCCUUGCCUGCCACUCCAGGACCUUGCAGAGCCAGAGGCAAAGGCGACCAUGAGAUGCUUCAGUGCUAGUCUUUGGGAGACCCCUGGUCCCUGUCUUUCAGUGCAAUUCUCUUUGCCAGUAGACAUCCGGGCUAUGAAAAGCAUAUGUGCUACACCUUUAAAAUUCCCUUUGCCCUUAGCUGUGAAUAGGGUUCCAUUGUCUGUUGCCAUCCUACCAGAGAGAGAGCAUUGUGUAGUCGGACAAAACUUGCACCCUUGAGCGACUGAGAGCUCGGUCUCCUCUAAUGAUCCCCAGGCAGGCGCACAUUGCCAAGGGCACACACAUACACCAGUCCUCCUCAAAUUGCACACGGGAAUGCGGAGUGCAACAAUCCCAGCACCUGACCGCCUCCGUCCAACAUUCUGGAAUCAUCAAACUUAAUUUCCCCUUUGUGCAAUAAAACACCAAGAGGAAGCUUUAAUGGAUUGUAUUGUGUAACGGUUCUAUAAAAAUAGCAGGCCAGCACUGGAGCACUUCCUUCCGGGCCCAGUAACCUAUGCUGAAAGGAUACACACCGGUUGCCUGGGCAACCGUGAGAGAUGACACUGGGGGGGGGAAAACGGCAACAAAAGGACCAUUUUUUGGCUCCGUCAAAUGAGGUCUGGUUUCAAGCUUGUGAUACAGUGAAUACAGACAGCCCAGCUCAGAGAGGGAGACACACUUAGCAAUUCUGCUCAGGCACCAGGAGGCUUGCAAAGCGCCCCUGCUUCCGGGUGUUUUUCUCUCCCUUCUUCAAAGAGGGGGAAAUGCCUUCCCCAAGAAAUUUCAUUUUUAAUUUAAAGAAAGCAAAACCUUUGAUUGUAUUUGAACUGUGGCAAUCAGGAAACAAGGUUCAUUUGACUCUCUGUCUCUUCCUAAGAGCUCAAAAAAUAAUUUCGGUUUCUUUCAAUUGUCUUUUCUUUUCUCUCAGCUCGCCUGGGAUCUGUUCAUGCAGGAAGCAAGUCAUUUAAAGGCAAUGACCUUUAUAAAUAAAAAGGGAAUCAGGGACACUCAAGCAAUGAUGCAUUUUAAAAGUGCAUAAUAACCAUUUCUGGGAUCCCUCUUCACCACGAACAUCAGGGACGUGGCUUCAAUAGACCAUGAUAUCCUCUCUCCUGCUGCACUGAAUGAGCACCCUAAGGUUCCUUAGCAGGUCACCAUCCUCACGGGCACUGCCUGACACUGUGGGCUGCCAUUUUAACUUCAGAAAAUUGCUUUUCUUGAUCCAGUGGCAGACAGUUCCAUGAGAUGCUGACAGGGACCCAAACAACGUUCCUCUCGCAGGGAGGAAGUGGACCCUCAGAGAUUUAUCAGCAUGGUUUGGAACCUCUGGCAAAUAAAACCAAGGCUGAAUCAAAAGCGACCAAGCACAAAUCUUUAGUAUAAAGCAGCAUCAAUAGCUCUUUCAAAGUGAUUCUUGAAAUCAGAGCUCAUAAAUAUGUAAUAUACUUUUAAUCUGAAAGACCUGUUUAAAUCCUCAGAGAGUAAAGGAUUCAUUUCAAGAUUAGGUUCUCAGCAGAAAGCAGGCCCCUCUGAUCAAGUGGGGAUAAAACCCGUGAAGGCAAGAGGGAAGCAUGGUGUCCCUGCAGGCCGUGUGGCCGUUCUGGGCACUGCUGGGCUGGAGAGGCACAGCCAGGGAAAGAGCCAGUUGUGCCUUCCGCGGAAAAGACCCCUCCCCUGCGCUGUCCCUGCGGCCCCCCUGCCCCUUCACAGGGAACGCAAACCCUCGAUGCAUCUCACUGUCAUUUGCUUCGUGGCAACUAACCAACAUCCAGACCGUCUACCUGGAUCAAAAAGAAAAUGGAGAUUUAGAAAUUAGGCAUUUAUUUCUAUCAAUGCACGUGGCCAAACUGGAGAUUUUGGUAUCUGAAGGGCAUUAUUGAAGGCAAAACUGCAGCCCUUCCCCACAGAGCUGUCUAAUCAUCUCUAUUAUAUACGGAACAGAUUAGGAGGGGAUUCAUUUUUUUCCUUUCUUUCUUUUUUUUUUGAAACAGGGUCUCACUAACUUACCCAGACCAACCUCGAACUGGCAAUCCUCCUGCCUCAGCCUCCAGAGUGGUCGGGAUUACAGGAAUACACCAAGUUACCUGGCUGAAGUAAGGAAUUUUUAAACACCGGAUGCUGUGGAAACACAACAUCAUUCAUUCUCCAAGCUGCAGACACACACUUGGAUCCCUGAGUGUUGGGGGAACAUAGGCAGGGUGAUGUGUUCCAAUUAGCAGUCUCCAUUUUCCCAUUACACCAAGGAUUUUGAAUUCAACAGGAUUAACUUGUAGAUAGCUGGGGUUCAUCCACACCUUUAGUUUGACCCUAAAAAAGGUACUGAAACAAAUCUGAUAAAACAGACGUAUAGCCAUCUUUUGUAGAAGCUCAACUCCAGGGUAGAAGCCCGACCCAGGAAACACAAGGGUGUCUGGCUUGCGUCUCUGAUCCAAGAUUUCAAUUUAGUGAUGCUUAAGUCCAUGGCACAAAACAAAGCACACAGAAGUUUCAAAGCUUUGUACCUGCCAUUAAAUCUAAGUCCUUGUCAGGUAUUGAAGGAAGGAAUGCUACAUAACAUGUGCUAGGAUCCAUACUUCCCAAUCGAAGUCCUCACUCAGCUUUCUGGCUUCCUGCACAGCCUUGGUCAACCUCACCUACUACUCAAGAGUGAUGCUACUACCCAGGUGGCCGCUCCUCUCAGAGGCUGCAGAGUUUACAGUGCCAUGUCCUCAUGUAACAAGGACUGCUACCACUUCUCAGGUCUCUCUCUGGGCUGGCUAGAGGAGAAGGGCAGAGGCUGUCCUAGAAACACAGGUGAGUUUGAGCAUCUAGAAAUGAGUGGCCGGAAAAGGGAGGGGGUGAGCCAAAGGGACCCAGAGAGUAGUAUCCACAGCGUGUUCCAAGGAUAAUGGAGAGACUGAGGGCUUGGAUGAGAAAACAGGUUUGCAGAAGAAAAAAUGGAAAGCAAGACAGGAAACACUAUUAUCUGCAUUUAUACAAAAGAAAAUAUGGAUCAUAUCACAUGCUGGAUUAAGUUACCAGAAAACCUGGAUAUCGUUUUCAUGUGACUUGGAGCAAGAAUACUAACUUUUCCUCCUUCUAUUUCCUUAUCUAUAAAACAGAGAUGAAGAUAUUAAGAAUACCAGGAGUGUAGCUCAGUGGUGGAGCCCUGGUUUACCACUCUCAAGGCCCUGCGUUUGGUCCCCAGAACUGGCGGGGGUGGGGAGGAAUAGUAGCAAUGAUGGCAUCGAUUUACAAGACAUCCCAAAUAAAUACUGGCCCAUCUCAUCCUCUACUCACCUUAGGGUUCACUUUCUCUUCGUAAUAGUUCCCAUGUCAAUUUAUUCCAUUUGUUCUGGUAGGAUUAGACAGUCCCCAGGGCAGCCCAUGGCCAUGGCCUUUAAAAGAUCAACUCAAGUUGACACCAGUGAAUCCCCCAAUGUCCAGGAGGGGGUGCCUGAGAGAGCAGGGCUGCUCCCAGGUAAUUCCACUCCACAAGGCCACGCCCUUCCUCCCAGGACAGGAUCCUGGAGCAGCUGGCCCCCACUCCGCCGAUGGCCAGCCAACUCCCCACUGUCCUCGAGGUGUCCCAGCCAGGAGGGCCUGGGCUUCCCAGGAAAGACGCAGCCAAAGCUC